UCUGUAUUUAAAAUAUAAUAAUAUUAAUAAAAGGACAAAAUGUAAGUGUGAGGCUAUCAGAUAAUUUGGUUGUUCUGUAACCAACCUGUAAGUUCUGCUAGUAGCAUCAUGUACAUAGCUGACUGUAUUAGAAAAAAGUGAAAAAUUGAUAUACUUUGAGUGACUAAGGAAAUUUUAACUGUUGGCAGGGAAAACAAAGGUUCUUAAUUCUCAUUUUGCUUCUAUUUUUUCUCUCAAAAGGAGAAGGAAUUUGGGAUUGGCGUGUCCAAAAGAAAAAAGCUAUUAAUAAGAUAUAUACAUAAUACAUGUACUGAAAUAGACUGAUACUGCCUUAUGGACCCUCCGUUUUUGAAGAUACCACAGGCUACCACAGAUGGUACUAAGGUAGAAAGGUCUCAACUUUGGGCCCAGAGAUGUCUGUCCAGAUAUGGAACAAUCUACUUACAUUUGGAGAAUCUCAUCAAAUCAAGGGGAAGAUAACACAUAAAAAAGAAGCUGAAAAGUCCAAAAGCCAAAAGAGGAGGAAAAUAUACUGGCCCAGGUGCUGCCCUUCAGUGGAAUUUCUAGGAGGAGCCAUUGGAUGACUGAGAUAAACUAUGGAGACAAAGGUAACUUCUAAUGUGUGAAUUCCAGAACAAGAAUGAGAUUUUAAGGAUAUAGAGAUGAGCUGUGAUAGAGGAAGUGGGUAAUGAAGAAGAGAAAUACUGCUCCAUUGUUGUGGCAAAGUACACAACAAAUCCAUCACAUACAACACAAGGGUGAUAAUGGCCACAAUCCAGACAUGCUUCAUAGAGAGGCAUUUAAAAAUCUGACAUUUUCUCCACUUUCAGGAUAUCAUUUAUAUACCUAAAAGCCUUCUGACUGUGGAUCUGUGGUCGUUUCUUUAAAUUGGAUUAAUUCCUGAUAUGUAGGAUCUUGAUCAAACUUUGAUAGAUAGAUAAUGAAUUUCUGACUUAGACUGGAAAAUAUUGAAGGUGAGAGAUCCAUGAUAUUUUGUACUAUUCAUACCACAUGUGGAAUCUUAUGUUCACUGCAUUUUGGGAAACAGAAACAAGUUGGAAAAGGAAUGGGACCAGUGUAUAGUGGAACAGGAAAUAGUUUUUAUAUAUUAUAUAUUUAUAUAUUAUAUACAUUUAUAUCAUAUAUUUUUGUUAAUUACUUGUAUGUAUAUGUAUUUAUAUUAUACAUAUUUAUAUAUUAUUUAUAGUUUGCUGAAUUUCUCCAAGCCGGAUUAUGACAGGGAUAUCUUUGGAGGAAUUCCCUUUUAGAUAUGGUUUAGGGUAGAGAACCUUUGAGGGCUUUUCCAGCACUGAUUUUGUAACUCUGAAACUAACCAAUUGCAUGGAGGUCCAUCAAUUUCUAUCAGUUUACUUCCCUUAUACUGUAAAUGUGCCUAUAAUUCCAGCAUCAAUGGAUUCUUGGGUUGUCCAUCAGACCACUCAAAGUUAAUGCUUCAUUUCAAUCAAUUCCAUAAAUCAGGUCUUUUCAUCUGUAUGGAUAAGAUUCAUUUUUAUGUUAAUGUAAGCAUACCUUAUACAAUUUUACAGAUAUAAAAAUGCCUCGGACCAUAGUGUUCCCUCUCUUUCUAAGCUCCUUUUAUACUUGUCUCUGUUACAAAUUUUUGUACUUCGGUAUUUUGUCACCAAUUGUUUUCUCUCAUUUCUCAUGGCUGAUAGAUCAACAAAUCACUGAUUUAAGACUGGAGGGGACAUUAGAGACCAUUUAGUCCAACAUUCUCAUUUUUCAUAUGAAGACGUUUUAGACACAAAGUACUUAAGUGACUUGUUCAGUAUCACAGAGCCAGUAAACAUUAGAAAUAAGAUUUGAUUCUAGGUUUUCCCUUAUUCUAAUUCUACAAUUCUAUCCAUUACUCCAUGAUGGGACCUUUCAUAUAUGAUUCAUAUAUACCAUAGUGUUUCCUUCUCUAGAUAGUCUAUAACCUUCUUAAGGGCUUAGGCCAUAUCAUAGACUCACACAUAUACAUAAUGCAUUGUACUUAUGUAAAUGCACA